ensembl:snRNA U6 U6 spliceosomal RNA
GCCUGCUUUGGUAGGACAUAUACUAAACUAAGAAUGACACACACAAGAUUAGCAUGGCUCUUGUGCAAGGAUGACCAGUAAAUUCAUGAAGCAUUCCAUGUUUUU